rnacentral:rRNA from 1 species
GGACGGGGCCCGGCACAAGCAGCGGAGCGUGUGGUUUAAUUCGAUGAUACGCGAAGAACCUCACCCAGGUUUGACAUGCACGUGGUACUGAUUCGAAAGAUGAGGGACCCUUCGGGGAGCGUGCACAGGUGUUGCACGGCCGUCGUCAGCUCGUGCCGUGAGGUGUUGGGUUAAGUCUCGCAACGAGCGCAACCCCCGUCGCCAGUUGUAUUUUUCUGGCGAGACUGCCGGGAAAUCCCCGGAGGAAGGAGGGGAUGAUGUCAGGUCAGCGUGGCCCUUACGACCAGGGCUACACACACGCUACAAUGGGUGGUACAGAGGGUCGCGAAGCCGCGAGGUGGAGCUAAUCCCACAAAGCCAUCCUCAGUUCGGAUUGCAGGCUGAAACUCGCCUGCAUGAAGCCGGAGUUGCUAGUAACCGCAGGUCAGCACUACUGCGGUGAAUACGUUCCCGGGCCUU